CGGCUCAGAUUUGGUGUUGCUGUGGCUGUGGUGUAGGCCACUAGCUAUAGCUAUGAUUCGAUCCCUAGUCUGGGAACCUCCAUAUGCUGCAGGUGCAGCCCAGAAAAGCAAAUAAUAAUAAUAACAACAACAAUAAUAAUAAAGAGCUAUCUUUUAUAUCUUUUUAAAAUUAUGCUCUAGUUUUCUUUAAAAAAAUCCUUCUAGCAAAUUUGAAAUUCUGUUCUGUUUAUAAUUUUUAUACUAAUUUAUCUUGGUUUCUUAUUUGUUUAAAAAGAAUUCCACAUAUCUCACAGGCAUGUCAUAAACCUUAAAUUUAUUUAGAUACAUUAUCAUGUAAAAUAAUGUUUUAAGUAAUCCUCACUUGUUAAUCAUAUUAACUUACUUGAAAAAACUAGGCAAGGAAGCCACUACUUAUUUUCAAUCAAGAGAGAAAAAUCCAGUUUGGCUCCAAGGUUCUGAAAUGAUUUCCCAAAAUGUGAUGUGGUACAUGGAGAUUACUGUUUUUAUUUUCCUCUCUUUACAUGUUUUUAUCAAGAGAAAGAACACUUAGGAUAAAAAUUUGUUUACAGAAAUUUGUUUUAGAAGAAUUAGCUUCAUUUUGAUCUCUCUCCAGAUUUUAGUAGGAGGGAUAUUUAUAUGGAUUUUGUUUUUACAUUUAUUAUAAUACAAAAUUACACUCAUUUAAGUAAUAAUAUUUAUAUUUAGAAAAAGUAUUUUCUUUAUCUUAUUUUCAUUUUCCAGUGUAUAUAAUUUGCUUUCUGUGGAAAAAUAAUUGAAUCUAAUAAUUUGAAAAAUAAUUAAUCUCUAAUACUUAAGUUCUUUUAAAAGUGUAUUUUAAAUAAAUAUUUAUAAUCAUUAAAUGUUAUGCAUGACUAGAUAUUUGAUUUAUAUUGAUUUAUAAGAAUUACUGUGUUUCCAACUUGUCUUUGAUUAUUAUAUUUUUCCCCCAAAUAUCUAAAUGUACCCAGAAAAGUAAUUUGUCAUUGUGAAUUUCUUGGUAUAGCAGAUUUAAAAUUUAAACUACAAUAGAGGUAUAUGGAAGUACCUCUUCUAAGUAUUUAAUAUGGUCUAAAUUUCUGUGAAUUUCAUACUCUCUUAUCCCCUUCAUCUGUUUUUGUAAGUGGCUACUUUGUCAUAUGCUUUAACUGUAGGAGGAUGAAAAACUCUAAAAGUGCCCACCAUCAGCAUAAAGUGAGGUAUUUUGAGCUCUACUGUGCAAAAUGAAAGUAUAAUAUUCACUGCAAAGAAGACUUAGAGUUCUAUUAUCCUACCAUUUAUACUUAAAGCCACUUCGAUUUCUGGAGUAGGUUGAACAAAGGAAAUUCAGAAUGGAUGUCUCGUUAAAAUUUUGUAAAAUUGGAAUCCUGAGACUACUGAAUACCUUCAGCCAUGUUCCAAACAAUACAUGAAACAGGCUAAGAGUGUCAAGAUAUGUGAGCACUAAAAAAGGAAGCUGAUUUUGUGAUUUCACCUAUAUCACAGCCACCAAGGGAAUGGGUUAGCAUAUUGGAAUUGAUUUCCCAGUUCUGGACAAUGGUGCAGUUCAGCAACUUGACCCUGGAUUUGGGAUUUCUUACUAGAGUCAAAGCUGGGGUUAUGCUGUCCUGAAGGGCUAGGAGCAAAGUAGGUUGUGUUGCUGAAAGCAGUGUCUCUGGGCUCACCCCUAAAUCCCUUAAUAUUCCCAGGUAUUGAUUUGAUUGGUAACAGUACCUCGAGAGGAAAGUGUCCCCCCUCAAGGCUUAGUCCUGAUGGAUUCUGGGGUCAUAGGAGGAAGAAAGACUAGGUUUGAUUUGAUGAAAGUUUUCUCCAGAGUUUAGUGCCGGAAAAGACUUACGUGGUCUUCUGGUACAAUCCCACUUAUUUUAGAGGUGAGAAACUGAACUUUAGAGAAAUUACAGCUUCCCGUCUUAUUACAAUAGUGCUUUCUCCAAGAAAAGUCCUGCUCCUAGUAACUCCAAUGUCAUGGAUCACAUCUAGUUUGACAGGCAUGGGGUUUAAUCUAUCGAGGAUUUGCCUCCUCAUCACUAUUUUCAUUACAAAAAUUUUCUCCCUCACAUAUAGAAAUAAUUGUCCCAUUCUUUACUCAAUUACUGGGUAAUCUUAUACAACUUAAUUUAUAAGCUAUUUCUGUGCCUCUAUUUGAAGUAAAAAUAUUGUUCGAGCAUAAUAUGACAGAUAAACAGGGGGUUCUUUUCUCCUUUAUGAAAUAGGGGCUAGAAUGACCACUCUACGUCCAAUUAUUACUGCUAAUAUUUACAUUAACGUUAAAAGUAACUGAUUUUCACAUUCUGUGCAUCUUCUCAUUGGCAUUCCUAUGAUGGCACAAUCCCCUCCUUUUCUAUGUAAAUCUGAUGAAGGGGCUGCUCCUGCUGUCAUUUUCCACACAAAACUUCCAUUCCAUUUCAACAACAAUUCUAUUUACACAAGGACCUCAGGGUUGAACAUGGAAAGUACCUAACCAUUACUGAAUAUUGAAUCAUUUCUCUCCACAUAAAAUUGCAAAUAUGGUCUGGGAGCCAAUUUCCCGAUUACCUUGGUUGAGUAGGACUAAUUACUUCUAAACUGGGUGCAGCCACAGUCUGCCAAAGCAAUGCUGGAAUCUUCCAGCAUCGGUUGAGCUCUGCCCACCCGGUGAUUGUGGAAUCCUGGAGAAUGCUGUAAGAUUACUCACGCUUUCAGUAAUGAUUAAUUUUUUUAAAAAAUGUUAAUUGCAAACAAUGAUAAUCGUGUACUUUAUUUGAAUGCCUACCCCUCUGUCAGGCAUUGCACUAUUUAUCUAUUAUUUCAUUUACUUCUCAAAAGGAUCUUAUGUACCAGGUGCUAUUAUUGAACAUUUGAUAAAUAAGGAAACUGAGUUUCACAGGGAUUGUCACAUACCCAAAGCCACACAGCUAAUAAGUUCAAGAUCCUAGGGCCACUUUGUAUUAAAGCCCUGUUCAGUUUCUCCCACCUCAUUGCCGUUUUGAAAUCUUCAAAACAGCAUGUGAAGAUGAGUGAUGCCUGAGAAAAGCAUCUGUUUGGGAACUUGUAGAAUGGAGCUCUGUUCCUACUUCAGCCACUAGUGGAAUUGUGACCUUAAACACCCUGUUUCUCAUGUCCUUCAUCGAUAGUUUUAAGUGAUAGAACUAGCUUUACCCUUCUGUGAUUUUAAAUAAUCUCAGCAAAGGUUUCUUUUUUUUCUUUCUUUUUUUUUUUUGAGAAAGAAAAUUGGAAAAAAUCAUUCACAGUAAUAAUGCCAUUGAACAAUAUUUCUCUGGUAUUUCCCAGGUUCUCAUCUGAUUUCAUGGUUUCACUCACGUCCCGUUCAUGUAUAAAAAAAGUCCAUAUUCUGGCCAGAUCAGUGAAGCACAGAGAAAGAUAUGGGAUUGACUUAUCAUGGGUCAAACUCUUACAAAGUUUGAAUUCAACAUCAUGCAUUUAUUAUGCAGCAUAUAUUAAAAAAUUAAACAGAUGAUGUGAAGCAAGGCGGGAAUUUAAUGCAAGUAUAAAGGAUAUUUACAGUAUGUGUGAUGAAGCAUAAAAGUACAUUUAUCACCCUUCAAAAAGCAAAAUGUUGGAUAUAUUCGUGUGAAAUACCUUAGGCUGUAUCAAGAAUGUUAUACUUAAAUACUUAAUACAUUUACAUGCUACUCAAGUACACAUAUUGACUUAAUCAUAGCACUCUAGGGAUUCAUGAUAAGCUAUGAAAAUUGUCUAUAAAAGAUAAGUGAAUAAAAAUUAAUUAUAGCACACCAGCAAUUUUAGAAACAUAUAUAUACCAUUUUGAAAAGCUGUGCCUUUGAAAUGUUAGCGGUUCCUUAUGUAUUUCUCACAGCGAUGCAUCCAUAUCACAUAUACAGUUUCCUAAACAUAUUGUAUUUUUCUUCGAACAUCAAACAUCAUUAUGUCCCAUGUCAAUUUUGUAAUAUUUUGAAAGAACAAAAUAUGGUAUAGUGAGCUGACAUAUUUUCCUUCGUUGAAAUAUUCUUUUGUGUGUAAACUCUUUACAGAUUUUUCUCACCAUUUUCUCCUUUUCUAAAGUUGACAAAAUGUAAAUGAUGGCAAAGUGAAAAGAAUUAUCAUCUCUUUGAGCAGUUCCCACUCUGUGCCCUCAUGUUGCUAUUGCAUAAAUAUUGACAGAAUGCCACAAUUUUUGUAUUAGAAAUAAUAAACAAUAGUUUCACAGGAUUUGUAAGGACCUAGAAUAUAUGAUUUUCACAAACACAAAAAUAUGUAACUUUAGGCAAUUUUGCACCAGUAGAGAUUUUGGCAAAAAAUGUAUGGUUAAAUUUGAUUUCACUCAUUUAUUUAUUCAACAUGUAUUUAUUUGAACUUCUACUCUGUGCCAGGCACUAUGUAAGGUACUGGGAUUAUACUGAUAAAAACUACAAAGUUGAGACUUACAUGAAGCUUCUGGCAUAAGAAUGGCCAAUAAACAAUCAAACCAAUACAGAGAGGAAAAAAGUAACAAAUUGAGAAAACUUCCACAGAGGAUAUUAAUGCCUUGAGGAGACAAAGGUUAAAUGGAGGAAGGCAAUUGAGAUAAGGUGAAUAUCAGAUCUUGAAAGACUGGAAUGAAAUCAAUGCUUGAUCAAGAGUGUUCUAAGCCAAGGUAAUGUCAAGUGCAGAGACACUGAGACAUAUCAAAAUACUUUAGGUGUACAUUUUCUGCUUUGUCCUUCAGUUUUAAUAGUUAGCAUGAUCCUCAGGAUAAUCCCAACUUUUUACACAAAGAUUUGAUGCAGGGAGGCGUUUUUGAAAAGUUGUAUUAAUUUAGAAAAAUUCCGAGGAACAAAUUUAAGAGGGAGGGUGGGUGAAGUACUUAGAACCAAAAAUAUUAGUCUUUAUUGGUUAUUAUGUUUUUAAGAAACUGAUACCUCCAAGCAAUAUUCUCAACUUGGAUUCUGUUUGUAGUAGUCCAUAAGAAAGACUACUACAGUUUGUGUUUAUAAAACACAAAACUUAGGUAAUUUUCUGACAGUAACUCUUCUCAUUUAUUUUUUCUUCUUUAUAAUGACUGCAUUUGAGUUCCAAAAUGCACAGCAUAUUUGGUGAAGACAAAAAAACUAAAUUUCUUUUUGUCAAAGACGUAUUGAAAUAUUUUCAUGUGAACUCAUCAUUUCAGAAAAAAUACAUGGACUAUCGCAAAGAUUGGUUUUCUACACUAUCCUGUCAUUAGAUUACAUGUAUACAUGUGUGCUAGUUAGAGUGUUUUACUUUAUUUUGAAAUGUUUACAUUACACUACCAAAACAUAAAUUAAUACUUUAUAAAAUCAUUAUAGAUAUUUUAUGAAAAUAAAUUUUAAUCAAUUUUACAUACAAAUUCAUAAUAAUAAUAUAUAUACCUAAUGCCACAACAAAUUAAUUAAAAGUAAAAGAAAAAUCAAUUAAAUUGUUCUUGUGUACAAAAUGUAAGGGCUCACCUUUUUUUAAUGACUAUUGUGAAAUUUGUUUAGGCCCAAAUGUUCUUAAUUAACUAGUACGACGUGACAAGAAUUAAAUGGAAAAUUGAAUUCGUUCACUAGCUUUAUAUUUCUCUAUCAGGUGAUAAAACAAUUAGAUUUAAAAAUAAAUCAGAGCCUUGGAGUUCCUGUUGUGGGGCAAUGAGUUCAGAUCGGAUCCCUGGCCAGGAACCCCAUAUGCCAAC
rnacentral:lncRNA from 1 species